rnacentral:misc_RNA from 1 species
UUUCCGUAGGUGAACCUGCGGAAGGAUCAUUCAUAAUAAGUGUUUUAUGGCACUUUUUUAAAUCCAUAUCCACCUUGUGUGCAAUGUCAGGGUUGGUCUCUUUUGAUCAGCCGCAAACAUCAACUAUUAUCUCAACUCAUUGUCUGAAAAAUAUUAUGAGUAAAACAAUUCAAAAUACAACUUUCAACAACGGAUCUCUUGGCUCUC